GUGCUUGCUUCGGCAGCACAUAUACUAAAAUUGGAACAAUACAGAGAAGAUUGGCAUAGCCCCUGUGCAAAGGUAACACGUUAAUUCAUGAAGUGUUCCACACUUUU
ensembl:snRNA U6 U6 spliceosomal RNA